rnacentral:rRNA from 1 species
GAUGAACGCUAGCGGCAGGCUUAAUACAUGCAAGUCGAGGGGCAGCAUGAUUGUAGCAAUACAAUUGAUGGCGACCGGCAAACGGGUGCGGAACACGUACACAACCUUCCAACAAGUGGGGGAUAGCCCAGAGAAAUUUAGAUUAAUACCCCGUAACAUAGCGAUGUGGCAUCACAUUGCUAUUAUAGAUUUUUCGCUUGUUGAUGGGUGUGCGGCUGAUUAGAUAGUUGGCGGGGUAACGGCCCACCAAGUCUACGAUCAGUAGCUGAUGUGAGAGCAUGAUCAGCCACACGGGCACUGAGACACGGGCCCGACUCCUACGGGAGGCAGCAGUAAGGAGUAUUGGACAAUGGACGCAAGUCUGAUCCAGCCAUGCCGCGUGAAGGAUUAAGGUCCUCUGGAUUGUAAACUUCUUUUAUAAGGGACGAAAAAAGGCUUUUCUAAGUCGUCUGACGGUACCUUAUGAAUAAGCACCGGCUAACUCCGUGCCAGCCGCCGCUGUAACAC